CACUGGCAGAGCAGGCUCUGUGCUGGAGCUCAUGCAUAGAGAGCAGAACACAUUCUUCCCUUCUGCAUACUGCUGUUGGCACAGUCAUUGUUGCUACUGCUGAAAGCUGAGGAAGGCAGAUGACAGCUUUCAAUCCCUGAUGGGUGAGAGAAGAGGGGAGGCCUUCUUCCAGAUGGCAAGUAAAGAAAAGAAACAACUUGCUGAAACACUGAAACUCCCUCGCUUGUAAGAUAACAAAAAGGACUGAAAUCAGUUAGAACCAAUAUGGCCAACUACAGACUGCGCAGAACCAGCCUGCAGACAGUACAACUUGAAUUUUCACCCUUUGUUUUACACUAACUCACCACAAAUUUGCAUGUGGGACCCACAAGGGAACAGGAAGAGAUAACUGUGCAUGUCUGAGGGCUUUCCUGACCUUCCCUUUCCUUCUAUCCAUCACCUACUAAUCCCAGAAUCCACCUUCUCAAUCCUUUCUAAUACAAUUAAUGUCUUAGAGCUUGCGUGAGUAGAUGGAUUUGAGCUGAGAUGAUGUCUCCAUGUUAGUCAAUUAGCAAUUGACUAAUUGAAAAACUAAGCAAUUGAAAAACUAAGGAGUUUUUCUUGUCUUAAAACCCAGCAUCAUAGCAUUGGCUUCUAGUGCAUUAGGCAGUGAGCCGCUUUUGCUUGAUGAUAGCACCACUAGAACUUUGGAUUCUACAGCUUGCAAGGGUCUUUGCAGUGGCCUUGAUGGAAAGGGCAAGGGCAACUCCACAACAACUCAAAUACUUCUGACAGUAACUAGAAUAUUUCUGAUAAGCUUUUGAAAUAUUUUAUUGAUGCAAUCAGUUCAUUCUAGUCAAAGGAAAGAGAUUCAUGUUAUCUAGGACUUCUUUUUCCACAGAAUACUCUAAGUAUACCUCCCACCACAGAGAUUUAAUAGUGCAGCCUAAAAAAAAACAAAAAAAAAACCCCCAAAAAAACCACACUGUGCUUUUCUGGUUUUAGUCCUUCAACUCUGUAUGUUAGAAGAUGAACUCUCAAGGUCCUGGUGUUUUUGAUUCUUUAUUUCUCCCAAAGUUGUCUAAUAAAAAUACAUUUAAUCUGUCAACCCCCUUACAUCACUAUCCGGAGCUGUCUGGCCCGGCCAUAGCGAUUAUAACUGACGACUGACGCCUAAGCUCUAUACAUUUCCACUUUAUGCCUCCUCCCUAGAUUUACUUUCUUCCCUGUUCUGCUGUCUCAUACGCCAGUACAAAAUGGCGCUCUUCCUGGUUCUUCAUCACCCAUUUUCCCGCGCCCGGGAAAAUGAUCAAUUUACAGCGCAGGCGCCAUCCCGCGCCCGGGAAAAUUACCAACCGAUGGCGCAGGCGCAACAUGACGUCCGACCGAAGAAACCGAGACCUACCUGGCCACGCACACCGCAGGGCCACCAUCACCGCCCUGGCCCAACCUCCGCCCCUGCCGGUCUAUAUAAGGCAUUACACUGCCACCAAUAAACGAGACUUGAUCAGGAUACUGUCUUGUCUCCAUUUCUCGUGUCUCUUGUCCCCCCGAGU